GACGUAGGGGCCAGCGUUGUUCGGAAUUACUGGGCGUAAAGGGCGCGUAGGCGGCCUCUUAAGUCGAACGUGAAAUCCCGGGCUCAACCCGGGAACUGCGUCCGAUACUGGGAGGCUUGAAUCCAGGAGAGGGAUGUGGAAUUCCAGGUGUAGCGGUGAAAUGCGUAGAUAUCUGGAGGAACACCGGUGGCGAAGGCGGCAUCCUGGACUACUACUGACGCUGAGUGAGCGAAAGCCAGGGGAGCAAACGGG
rnacentral:rRNA from 1 species